rnacentral:tRNA from 1 species
GGAGACGUGGCUGAGCGGCCGAAAGCGCUUUCCUGCUAAGAAAGUAGGGUGAGAAAUUGCCCUCGAGGGUUCAAAUCCCUCCGUCUCCGC